UCCCAUGCAACGAGGCAGGCUCGUGAUCAAGAUUUCCUACAUAAUCCGAAUCAUAGUGACAAGGGAAAAUUGGAAGCUCGAUGCUCGUAGAUUGAGAAGACACUGUCCACGGUGACCAUAGAGACUCCGAGAUGAGAAACUUCGCCAUAUUCCCGUGGAAGUCCGCGGUCGAACAGAGAAGUCUCGUUAAGAGUACACUUUCCCGAUGGCGCUUGAACGAUUGCAACCGUCCUCUCGUUCGUCUUCCCCAGAAACCUUCGCGAAAGUUCGCUCGCUUUCGGGAAUUCCACUCUAUCAAAGUCGAAAAAGUUCGCAAUAAGUCGGGCCUGCUCCGCGGCGAUUGUAAAUUAUUCGACGACUUGAUGGACGGCCACGUGGCAUGAGUUUCAUUGAUGGACACGAAAUUCGUUCGUCGGCGGUCGACGCGGUUUUCCGAAAAUAGGAAAGUUGGCGUCAAGACGAGUUCAAAGGCCAAUAAAACAAUGAUCUCGACGUGAUGUCGAAGAUGACAAGAUAAAUUAAUAUUAGAAGAAUGUCACAUUUUAAACAUGCAACAAAUUAUUACAAAAACAUUUAUUCAUUCUCCCGAUUCCAAUUAAUCUUCUCUUACUGGGUAUCCAAGUGUGGAUGAAUGUAUUUUUGAGUUAUAAAUCAAUGUAAGUUAACAUUCGCUAUAGCUUAACAUUUAUUUAAAGUAAGUUAAUCUGGCGACUUCCAUACAGUUGGCAAAAUAGUGCCACCGCCGUGUUGGUCAAACGACCGGAUUUAUUUUUAUUUCAUAAUUAUUGAA